rnacentral:rRNA from 1 species
CACGUAGGGCGCAAGCGUUGUCCGGAAUUAUUGGGCGUAAAGAGCUCGUAGGCGGUCUGUUACGUCUGCUGUGAAAACCCAGGGCCUUAACCCUGGGCUUGCAGUGGAUACGGGCAGACUAGAGGCAGGUAGGGGGAGAAUGGAAUUCCCGGGUGUAGCGGGUGAAAUGCGCAGAUAUCGGGAGGAACACCGGUGGCGAAGGCGGUUCUCUGG